rnacentral:rRNA from 1 species
AGUGAACGCUGGCGGUAGGCCUAACACAUGCAAGUCGAACGGCAGCACAGUAAGAGCUUGCUCUUACGGGUGGCGAGUGGCGGACGGGUGAGGAAUACAUCGGAAUCUACUUUUUCGUGGGGGAUAACGUAGGGAAACUUACGCUAAUACCGCAUACGACCUACGGGUGAAAGCAGGGGAUCUUCGGACCUUGCGCGAUUGAAUGAGCCGAUGUCGGAUUAGCUAGUUGGCGGGGUAAAGGCCCACCAAGGCGACGAUCCGUAGCUGGUCUGAGAGGGUGAUCAGCCACACUGGAACUGAGACACGGUCCAGACUCCUACGGGAGGCAGCAGUGGGGAAUAUUCGGCAAUGGGCGCAAGCCUGAUCCAGCCAUACCGCGUGAGUGAAGAAGGCCUUCGGGUUGUAAAGCCCUUUUGUUGGGAAAGAAAAGCAGCAGGUUAAUACCCCGCUGUUCUGACGGUACCCAAAGAAUAAGCACCGGCUAACUUCGUG